rnacentral:lncRNA from 1 species
UAAAACCUUAAUGUAAAUUCAGAAAAGUUUUUUACAUAUAUAAUAUGAUAGUAGUGUAUGUAACUUAAUCUGUUUCAAAAUAUUGCCCAUAUAGCUCUGCACAACCAUUUUCUCUAAUUUUUCUUUAGUUCUUAAUAAGUACAUUUUCUCAACCACAUAGUGAGUAUUAGCUGUAUUAUAAGUAAUUCAUAAAAAAACCUUCAUAUUAAACCAUAAAUAUGAAAAAUGAUGACAGCACAAACAUAUAAAAACACAUAAACUAAAGUAUUAACAUAAUAAAGGCGGACUAUCUUGAAUAAUUAAUUUAGUAGCUUGUUGGAUUUCUUUAAAAUUAGGGUAUUUUACAUACAGAGACUCAGAUGCCAUUAAUUCAGCAGAACAGUACAUGGAUUAAGUUAUUAAUUUGGUCCCAGAGAUUCCGCUUGUCUGCUUUGAAUUCCACAUGAAUGCUGAUUUUGUACUGCUUAUACUUGUGGUGCGUGUGUUUGUGUGCUGGGGUGAGGGGUAAGAGGGAAUGCUGUAGACUGUGCCAUAGUGGAGAUGGAGCAUCCAGAAGAAGCCAUAGGACAUAUUUGACUAAGACAUGUUGGGAUCAACUUUCAACCAACUUCAUACUGCAACCUGUUUUCUAGCUGAGCUCUUUGUGAAAGAAUCAGUGGGUAGGACACUUGGCUUUCCCUGGAGAUGGUUAUGAGAAGUGCCAGAAUGGCUGAGCUCAAGACAAAAUGAUCAUAGUCUCUGUUUUGGAGAGAAAAGCAAUUUUUCUCUACUUGAUUAGAUAUAUUAUUCUUAAGUAACAUCUGAGACUCCCUUCCACCAACCUCCCUCUUCAGAAUAGAUCUGCAGGGACAAAAAUUAUCAGCCAGUGGUCCACACAUGCCAGCCUUCAGAAAGCUGUGGAGCAGAAGCAUUGCCAGUGCCAUGCAGAGGGACAGUGCAGCCCCUGACAGCUAUGUCCAGGAGGUCCUCCAUCCCAUAUAUACCUGGAUAAAGCAUUCAUAUUCCUCCUUGGACACUUGUGCCUGCAUUCUAUUUGCACAAGCAUUCACAGGUAAUCUGUUCAGUCUAGUUGGUCUCUUGCUUUGCCUAUCUUGUUUCUUGGCCAGUGGGAUUGGCUAUUCUUGUACCUCAGAGAGAUUGCCUUGACCUCCUCUGCCUCCUCUGCCCUUUUGAGCAACCCCUCAAUGGAGCCAGUCUACCAAGAUCCCAAAGUAGCUAAAGUCUGCCCUCCUGAAAUCUAGUAUGGUUUUCUACUGCUUGUCUUCUUCAUUGCCCUCUGGUGUUUAAAUUCAACUCAUGGUCACUGCAGACUAAACUCCCCAUGACUGUCACUGGUUGGACAAUGAGAUUUUCUUUGUUCAUGAGUAGCAAGUUCAGCAGAACAUCUUUCCCAGUCAGCCUAUCACACCUACACCACAAAAUUAUCACUUAUAUUCUGUCUUGUUAUCCUCUGAAGACAUUGGAGUGAUUGAAGUCCCCCAUGAUAGUCCAAGCUUGCAGCUGCGAGGAUCUUUCUAGUUAUUAAAGGCGUGUCUAUCUUCUCCCCCUACUUGUACAAUCUCUAGCAAAUGCUAGCUACAGCAUUCCCUUGUUAUCCUCUGCUCUGAUCUUGUCCUAUAAAUUUUCAAUACAUCUCUGCAUGUGAGCUACUCCUUUGUGUAGAGUACAACCUCAGUGCUCAUCUUCUCAGUCUGUCUUUCCUAAAGUACUUCUACCUAGCCAGUGCAGUUCUCCAUUUGCAAACUACCUACCAUGCCUUUGUAAACCCAGUUAUUACAUACUGCUGGGAUUGUACAUGAUUUUUAGCCCCAAUGCCUGUUUCCCAGGCAGUGUUUCCUAGGAAUUAAUUUUUAGACAUGAGGUGAAACCCUCUUUUGCUCUGCUCUCUCAGGGAAGUAUGGGAACCUCUCCUGUCACAAUGUUCUAGAUACAUCUAACCCCUGCUUCCCCCCUUAAAAAAGCAAGGAGACAAAUCCCUCAUGGAAACAAGUAUAAGGAUAACAAGCUUGUUAGUGCGGAUGCUUUUGUACAACUUUAUCAGACGCAUCCCAUCUCUACCUAGUAACUGUUCCUUGUUCCUUGAAGAGGUAUUAGAAAUCUACCCCCUGUGAGGAGCACCAACCCCAUCAGCAGACAAUGAUUUAUG